rnacentral:rRNA from 1 species
UAUUGCUCAAUGGGAGAAAUCCUGAAGCAGCAACGCCGCGUGGAGGAUGAAGGGUCUAUGACUUGUAAACUCCUGUAAAGAAGGAAAAAAUUCCCAUUGGAUGGGAGAUGAUGGUACUUCUGGAGUAAGCCCCGGCUAACUACGUGCCAGCAGCCGCGGUAAUACGUAGGGGGCAAGCGUUGUCCGGAUUUACUGGGUGUAAGGGCGCGCAGGCGGGAUAAAAAGUCAGUGGUGAAAUCCUACAGCUUAACUGUAGGACUGGCUUUGAUACUUUUAUUCUGGACUUCGGGAGAGAGAGACGGAAUUCCAGGUGUAGUGGUGAAAUACGUAGAUAUCUGGAAGAACACCAGUUGCGAAGGCGGUCUCUUGGUCCGACACUGACGCUGAGGCGCGAAAGCGUGGGG